rnacentral:lncRNA from 1 species
ACAAGUAGGUUUUAUACUUUGAUGAAAUACCUAAACAAGACAAGUGUGUAGAUCUUACUAUUGAAGAAGAGAUGAAAAUUGAAGAAAGAAAACCUGCCAGGGUGACUGUUUAUGAUUACUAUAACACAGAAGAGAGAUAUGAAACAACAUACACCAUCUGAAUAUGAAGCAUCAAAC